rnacentral:rRNA from 1 species
AUUGAACGCUGGCGGAAUGCUUUACACAUGCAAGUCGAACGAUGAACCUUAGCUUGCUAGGGGGAUUAGUGGCGAACGGGUGAGUAACAUAUCGGAACAUACCUAGUAAUGGGGGAUAACUAGUCGAAAGAUUAGCUAAUACCGCAUACGCCCUGAGGGGGAAAGUAGGGGAUCUUCGGACCUUACGUUAUUAGAGCGGCCGAUAUCUGAUUAGCUAGUUGGUGGGGUAAAGGCCUACCAAGGCGACGAUCAGUAGCUGGUCUGAGAGGACGACCAGCGAAACUGGAACUGAGACACGGUCCAGACUCCUACGGGAGGCAGCAGUGGGGAAUUUUGGACAAUGGGGGCAACCCUGAUCCAGCCAUUCCGCGUGAGUGAAGAAGGCCUUCGGGUUGUAAAGCUCUUUCGCAAGGGAAGAAAACUUACAUUCUAAUAAAGUGUGAGGCUGACGGUACCUUGAUAAGAAGCACCGGCUAACUACGUGCCAGCCGCCGCCGUAA